rnacentral:lncRNA from 1 species
AGGGCCUCCUGGCCCAACUACUGAGCUCCUUCCACAGCCCAGGCAGCUAGGCAAGCCCGUGCCAGGGCCCCCUCCACUGGUGUGGUGAGCUCUGGUCCCUAGCCCUGGGAGUUGUGGCCCCGGGCCAAGAUCCACCCAGGCCCUCACAAGCUGGCUGAAGUGCCGUGGCGCAGAUAGGCCUCCUACCCCCAGUUUCUUCCUUUGUCAUAGCGAUUCACAGCCACUGCCUCCAAACCUCUAGGCCCCUCCCUGCUGGCAUUUGGAUGUGUUUGCUAUGUACCUUUGGGCCAGCUGUGUCAGAACUCAGCCAUGGGUAGGCUCUGAGGGGCACAGUGCCCCUCACCUUAGGCAGGAAGCACCCCCAGACUCUGGUCGCCCCUCUCCCAUUCUUAGCUGCUGGAGCCAGCACUGCCAGAUGAGUGUGCUGGCUCCAGAGCAGUGUGGUGACUGAAUGUCCAAGCAAGAGGACAUGGCUGCA